AAAGCAUGAUGUGGGCAUCUUCUCAAGAGCUCCCUAUAACUCUUCCAAGCCUCAUACAAAGAUUCAGUUUCUUGUUGCACAAAAUAGUGAUUUCAUUUCUCAUUUU